ACGCUCGACACCUACGGUAGGCAGCAGUGGGGAAUAUUGCACAAUGGGGGAAACCCUGAUGCAGCGACGCCGCGUGGAGGAAGAAGGUCUUCGGAUUGUAAACUCCUGUUGUUGGGGAAAAAGAGGAUGGUACCCAACAAGGAAGUGACGGCUAACUACGUGCCAGCAGCCCGGUAAUCUGAGCGGGCUGGCAAGGC
rnacentral:rRNA from 1 species